AGUCGUAACAAGGUUUCCGUAGGUGAACCUGCGGAAGGAUCAUUACCGAGUGCGGGUUCCAACGAGCCCAACCUCCCACCCGUGUUUACCGUGACCGCGUUGCCUCGGCGGGCCCACCGGGGCCUGGCCCCGGUCGCCGGGGGGCAUCUGCCCCCGGGCCCGCGCCCGCCGAAGCGCUCUAGAACCCUGUCUGAACAGUGAGUCUGAGUGAAUGAUGAAAUCAUUAAAACUUUCAACAACGGAUCUCUUGGUUCCGGCAUCGAUGAAGAACGCAGCGAAAUGCGAUAAUUAAUGUGAAUUGCAGAAUUCCGUGAAUCAUCGAGUUUUUGAACGCACAUUGCGCCCCCUGGCAUUCCGGGGGGCAUGCCUGUCCGAGCGUCAUUUCUGCCCUCCAGCACGGCUGGGUGUUGGGCGCUGUCCCCCCGGGGACACGCCCCAAAGGCAGUGGCGGCGCCGCAUCGGGUCCUCGAGCGUAUGGGGCUUUGUCACCCGCUCGGGAGGGACUCGUCGGCGCUGGUCUUCCCCCAGGCGACCCCCCUUCGGGGCUCGUCUUCUUCCGGUUGACCUCGGAUCAGGUAGGGUUACCCGCUGAACCUAAGCAUAUCA
rnacentral:misc_RNA from 1 species